UACGUAGGGUGCGAGCGUUGUCCGGAAUUAUUGGGCGUAAAGGGCUCGUAGGCGGUUUGUCGCGUCGGGAGUGAAAAUCCAGGGCUUAACUCUGGACUGGCUUUCGAUACGGGCAGACUAGAGGUAUGCAGGGGAGAACGGAAUUCCUGGUGUAGCGGUGAAAUGCGCAGAUAUCAGGAAGAACACCCGUGGCGAAGGCGGCUCUCUGGGACGGUACUGACGCUGAGACGCGAAAGCGUGGGGGAGCGAACAGG
rnacentral:rRNA from 1 species